CCUACCUCUCUCUCUAUCCAGCCACACAAAGUCACAAACACAACCAAACUUUAUCCUCCUCUUUUUUCUGCGUUCUGUGAGUCUCUAACCUCUGUCUCUCCUCUCUUCUCCUCAAUUCUCAUCGAUCAGUCGACCUCAGUACCUCUCUAUCCAGCCACUCAGAUUACAAAGGUCUAGGUCAGUAGGCCAUCAAGCAAUUUUGUGGGAUUCUGGAAUUGAGAAAUUGGAGAAGUCGAGCAGUGAACAAACUCAGAGUCACAGACUAUGAUUUGAGUUCAAGGAAUCAGGUUCCCUCCUUCACAUUGAUUUGCUAAUUUUGCUUGAAUUGUCUGGGGAUGUUGCUUGAAUUGAUUUGCUAAAAUUUAGAAGCAUGCCUCCUAAAAGAAAAUGUUUAUCUGGACAUGCAAAACGCUUAAAGAAGAAAAAAAUGCAGAGUUGGUUAAUUCUUUAAGGGGAAGUCUUGAUAGGUUCAUUAGUAGAGAAUCAGAAGGUUUGGGUGGGCAUUUAGUUAAUGAAGUGGCAGAAGAGCACACUGAUAGGGAAGAUAAUGUGGAAGAGCACACUGAUGGCAAUGUAGUUGUCGAUAAUUUGGGUCAUGAUUGAAUUUCUUACAGGAAAGGAAUACUUGCCCAAUUGUUAGACUUGCAUAUCGAAUAUUGUUAACUGUGCCUGUUACUGUUGCUUCAGCUGAGAGGAGUUUUUCCAAGUUAAAGUUAUUGAAGUCUUAUUUGCGAUCAACUAUGUCACAAGAAAGGCUAAAUGGACUUGCUUUGAUUUCUAUUGAGAACGAAUAUCUUGGAAAAAUCAAUUGUGAUAAGCUAAUUGAUCAGUUUGCAGGUAAGAAGGCAAGGAGAUGGAUUUUCAAAUGAAUAUCAAUCAACACUGCUAGAAUGUGUUAUUUUGAGGGUUUCAGAUCAAAGCAUCUUUUUGUAAUUAUUUUUUGCUGCAAACUUUAUGUUUGUAUUGAAUAUUUAGCCUCUUUUGUGGGCUCAUCUAAUGAUAUAUAUUGAUCAUGGUUAUUUGAUUUUA